UUAUAUCUUUUUAAAAACGUUUGCUUCAUCAGAUCUUUGUUAUUGUUAUAGUCGUAUACUGUGUAAAAUAGUGUUUGCCUGCAAUUAUUUAUGUGUGUUUGUUGUAUUCCACCUCUUAUUCGUCCGUCAUGAGGCAACGUCAAGUUCCUUGGUUACUGAUUGGCUGGGGGGGGGAGAAGAACAAACAGAGAGUGACGCAAGGGUGUGCGGAGCAGUUACUGCUGUAAAUGCGCUAUGAGGCCGGUGGUGGUGGUGGUGCUGGUGUCCCUUCCUGUGUGCUGUGCUGUUGCCACGUGCCCGGGUGACUUAUGAUAUAUUGUUUGGACCCCUUCCCUCACUAGUUUCUCCACACCAGCGAGCCUCAGCUUGGAAUAGUCUCUUUUAUAAUUGGUGUGGAUACUGCAUUGUUUAAUUUUGAAUAAUAAAGAAGUACCGAACUGUGAACCACUUCUCAUGCCUAAUGAGUUGACCUCACUUGCGUGUCCUGAGAUGAACCAAUAAAAUUAAAUCUUUGGGUGUGU